ACUGAGCAGGGAACCAGAGACGGGGCUUGAUCCAGGACCUUGGGAUCUUGACCUGAGAUGCAGGACCUGGCUCUGGAAAUGUCUCUUCAACUCCCUGGAGGUGAUAUUUCUAUUAAGCUCCUAUUUAAGAUUGAGAAUAAGAGAACAAAACCAAGAAAUGACAAAGAAAAAAGUGGUCAACCCAAAGCCAAGCAGACCAAGCAGCCACAGAGCAUGGGGUGAAAAGUCGCUGGAAGGACAAGUUGACAGAUAGCAUUUGGGUCGCUGGGUCACUGGAAGGCGUCGUGAUCUGGGCUCAGACAGAGCGAUUUCCUCGAUUAUCCCAGUUGCCUUGGCUUCAAGUAUAUACAGCUUGUCCUGUUGCCACGAACCUUGGAACACCACCACUCACCUGUGCCAAAGUACAAUGGAAACAUCAUAGGCAGGGAGUUUGGAAACCUGGAUUGAGGUUUUGCUCUGAAACUAUCUGAGUCCCAAUUUACUCCCUUUUACACUGGAGAUGAAAGCUGCUUCCUGCCCACCUCAUUAGCUUGCUGUGAGUGUUGAAUGAGAUUAUGCAUCUGAAAGCUACACAAACAUAAGAAAGGAAAUAUGAAAGAUCCACAAGCCCUCUGACCCCCAAGAAUUUGGAGCAGCACCAAAUUUUGGGGGCAGUGACAGAAAGCUAAUGAAAAUUAAAGUCACCCACUGCCUCCAAGUCAGCAGACCUGACUCAUGAAGAUGAAACUUCUCUCAAGAGGAUAUUUGCCAAGUGAUACUGCUCAUAGGAAAGUAUUCCAUCCAAUCCGCCCAGCAUGGACUCCAGAUUACUGAGCUUUUGGGAGGUUCAUUUAUCAGAGGAAAUUGCAACUGGUUUCUUGGUCUAGUGACCCUAACUUGUACAGGUGGCAGCCUUCAAUCUUGGCCGAAUUCCAGCUGGGAUAAUUCCAUUUGGUUCCCCAUCCAAUGAGGAGCUCCUAGCUUCCAAUUAGUUCCUGGCUUCCACUUCAUUGGGAGCAUCGUCCUUCCCUUCCUGUCUUGGAAAUUGCCACUAGCAGGAGAAUAUAUGACUACAUUUUUGCAUGUGCAGAGUGGAUUUUCCCCGUUUCCUAAUGAGGACAUUUUUCUUGUGAGACCAACUUCCAAGUAGCUUAUUCUUAGAAGCUAGCCCCAAGACCUUUUCUCGCUAACCAGGUAAUUUAGAGAAUGAUAGACCAUUAUAGCUGUUUGGAAAGCCAUGGUCACUGACAAAGGAUUACUAGUGGCUGAGCAGGUAUAGAGGUGUGAAGUGACUGGUGGGUUUAAGACAAGUGAAAAGAAUAAAGGCUAGAGUGUGCAUUGCACAUCUAAACUCACCCAUCUUUCUAGGAAGUAAAACAUUGCUCCAGGAGUUCCUUAUUCUCCACAACCCUGCUAGCACCUGUUAUCUCUUGUCUUUUGAUGAUAGCCAUUUUAACCAGUGUGAGGUGAUAUCUCAUUGUGGUUUUGAUUUGCAUUUCUCGGAUGACCAGUGGUGGUGAACAUGUUUUUGUGUACCUGUUGGCCAUUUGUAUGUCUAUUUUGGAAAGGUAUCUAUUCAGAUCCUCUGCCCAUUUUUUUAAUCAGAUUUUUUUUCUUAUGCUACUGAGUUAUAGAAGUUUUUCCUACAUUUUGGAUGUUAACUCCUAAUCAUAUAGAUGGUGUGCAAAUAUUUCCUCCCAUUCUGCAGAUUGCCUUUUCAUUUUGGGAUUUUUUUUUUCUUUUGCUAUGCUGGAGUUUCCUCAAAAAUGUAUAAAUAGAACUACCAUAAGAUUCAGCAAUCUUACU